AGGCAAAAAAAGACCGAACACGAUUCCUGUAUUCGGUCCAGGGAAAUGGCUCUCAAGGAGCCGUGCGCUAAAAGUUGGCAUUAAUAGAGGCUUUCGCCUUGCUUCUAAAGCGUAGGACAACGCGCCAGAUUUUCCAGCCA
rfam:Pantoea ananatis LMG 20103, complete genome.